UCUCCAAGGAAAGCUGUCUUCUUGGCUCUGAAAAUUGUUAUGUAUGGCAACUCUGGUCUGCGAUGAGGCUACACAAGCCAAACUUCCUGCACCCCCUUCAGGGACAGACGGAGGCAUCUGUGAUCCCAUCUCUACAACAAUGAAAAUUUGCUUCAGCCAUCACAAUAAAUCCAGAUGGGCAGUGCCUCUCUGUUUCCUAAGGGCUGUAAGAACGAUCUUGGAUCCAGGUAUGCCUGUGAUGCCAGUGAACCGUGAAAGCUGUUGGUGAGGAGUGAGAAGAGCCACUCAGUCUUAAGAGAAGAUGCCAUUUAAGUUCUCGAUGCUUGCUCAAAUCAUCUGGUCUGGAUGGAGCCUAGCUCAGCUUGCUCUCAACCCAGGCUCUGGGAAGGAAAAGGCUGUUCACCUUCUGUAUCAGAUGUAACAAGAGACCUUGAUUUAUGGAUCAUCCUCAUGCUGAUGAUUCAACAGCCCCAGCCACUGGAAGUAGGCUGAAAAUACCUUUGGCAUUAAAUUUGAUCUGCCUCCUGUUCUGCUGGAAUCUUAAAGACUGACUGUUUCUCAGUUGCUUAAUGAAGCCACUGCUCUGGGCCCAUUUAGAUACCUCUCCGGGAG
rnacentral:lncRNA from 1 species